CCGGGUAACCGGGUCGCGAGUUGUAAUUUGAUGAGGUAAACUUGGUGGGCGCCUGGGUCUAAAUCCUUUGGAAAAGGGUAUCAUAGAGGGUGACAAUCCCGUCUGUGGCUCAGUCAGCGGUCUAUCGUGUAAGUUGCCUUCAAAGAGUCGGGUUGUUUGGGAAUGCAGCCCUAAGCUGGUGGUAAAUUCCAUCUAAAGCUAAAUAUUCGUGAGAGACCGAUAGCGAACAAGUACCGUGAGGGAAAGUUGAAAAGCACUCUGGAGAGAGAGUCAAACAGCACGUGAAAUUGUUAACAGGGAAACGUUGGGCCCCAGUACGCGCCUCGCGUAAAAUCAACCAUCUCUUCCCCGAGGGUAUCCGUGCCGGGUGGAUGAGUCCUUAAGAAGGGCCAUUGCCUGGUCGGUGCCCGAGGGGGGUGGUGCACUUUUGCGUGGGCGGGUCAACGUCAGUUAGAGCCACCGGAAAAUCCUGGGAGGAAUGUUGGCGAAGGCAACGGACCCACUUAUAGCCUCCCUUGAAAACGGUGACCCUGACUGAGGAGUCGCAGCCUCAUCAUAUGGCGCGCGCGUCUCCCUUCCCCCUGUGGGUAAGGCAGCUUGCUGACUUGCCUCGGUAAGGGAGGGGACUGCGCGUGUGCCUGGUGGGGCCACGGACGUUGGCGAAAUGGUUCUCAACGACCCGUCUUGAAACACGGACCAAGGAGUCUAACAUGUGUGCGAGUAUUUGGGUGCAAAACCCGAAUGCGCAAUGAAAGUGACCGCAGGGGAGAAGGGUGACCCUCUCGGGGGUCGCCCCGCAUCCUCGACCGAUCCGAUUGCCCUCCGUGGCGACGGGUUUGAGUUUGAGCAUAUCUGUUAGGACCCGAAAGAUGGUGAACUAUGCCUGAGUAGGAUGAAGCCAGAGGAAACUCUGGUGGAGGUCCGUAGCGAUUCUGACGUGCAAAUCGAUCGUCGAACUUGGGUAUAGGGGCGAAAGACUAAUCGAACCAUCUAGUAGCUGGUUCCCGCCGAAGUUUCCCUCAGGAUAGCAGAAACGCGUUAACAGUAUUAUGAGGUAAAGCGAAUGAUUAGAGGCCUUGGGGGCGGAAUGCCCUUAACCUAUUCUCAAACUUUAAAUAUGUAAGAAGUCCUUGCCACUUAAUUGGGCAUGGACGUUGUUGUAUGAGCGUUUCUAGUGGGCCAUUUUUGGUAAGCAGAACUGGCGAUGUGGGAUGAACCAGACGGGAGGUUAAGGUGCCGGAAUGUACGCUCAUGUAGACACCACAAAAGGUGUUGGUUCAUCUAGACAGCAGGACGGUGGCCAUGGAAGUCGGAAUCCGCUAAGGAGUGUGUAACAACUCACCUGCCGAAUGAACUAGCCCUGAAAAUGGAUGGCGCUCAAGCGUACUACCCAAA
rnacentral:rRNA from 1 species